UGUAAUGAUGAUUCAGCAGACUAGAGUCUCUGAGAACAAGUGAUGUUAUUUUAAACUGCACUGAACA
ensembl:snoRNA